rnacentral:rRNA from 1 species
UGGGCCCUCUAGAUGCAUGCUCGAGCGGCCGCCAGUGUGAUGGAUAUCUGCAGAAUUCGCCCUUGGAUUAGGCAUGCAAGUCGAACGAGGAUAUAUCCUUCGGGAUAUAAGCCGAGUGGCGCAAGGGUGAGUAAUGCAUAGAUUACCUGCCUCUAGGAUAAGGACAACUUUGUGAAAACGAAGCUAAUACUUAAUAAUACAAAAGAGAAUAAUUCUCUUUUGUCAAUGGGAGGGUAGCAAUACCUUUUGCCUAGAGAGGGGUUUAUGUCCUAUCAGCUUGUUGGUGGGGUAAUGGCCUACCAAGGCGAAGACGGGUAGCCGGUCUUAGAGGAUGGUCGGCCACACUGGGACUGAGACACUGCCCAGACUUCUACGGAAGGCUGCAGUCGAGAAUCUUUCGCAAUGCCCGAAAGGGUGACGAAGCGACGCCGCGUGAGUGAGGAAGGCCUUCGGGUUGUAAAGCUCUGUCAGGAGUUAAGAAAUAUAAGUGUGCUAAUACCACAUUUAUUUGACGAAGGCUCCAAAGGAAGCCACGGCUAACUCUGUGCCAGCAGCCGCGGUAAUACAGAGGUGGCAAGCGUUGUUCGGAAUUAUUGGGCGUAAAGAGCACGUAGGUGGGUUUGUAAGUCAGAUGUGAAAGCCUUCUGUUCAACGGAAGAAUUGCAUCUGAAACUACAAGUCUUGAGUGUAGGAGGGGAGAAUGGAACUUCUGGUGGAGCGGUGAAAUGCGUAGAUAUCAGAAGGAACGCCGGGCGGCGAAAGCGAUUCUCUGGCCUAUUACUGACACUCAGUGUGCGAAAGCUAGGGAGCAAACGGAUUAGAUACCCCGG